rnacentral:misc_RNA from 1 species
GAUGAAGAACGUAGCGAAAUGCGAUAAUUAAUGUGAAUUGCAGAAUUCAGUGAAUCAUCGAAUCUUUGAACGCACAUUGCGCCCCUUGGUAUUCCGGGGGGCAUGCCUGUUCGAGCGUCAUUAUAACCCCUCAAGCUCAGCUUGGUGUUGGGGCCUGCCGACUGGCAGCCCUUAAAAUCAGUGGCGGCGCCAUCUGGCUCUAAGCGUAGUAAUUUCUCUCGCUAUAGAGUCCCGGUGGAUGCUUGCCAGCAACCCCCAACUUUCUAUGGUUGACCUCGGAUCAGGUAGGGAUACCCGCUGAACUUAAGCAUAUCAAUAAGCGGAGGA